UACGAAGGAUGCAAGCGUUGUCCGGAAUUAUUGGGCGUAAAGAGCGCGCAGGCGGUAUGACAAGUCAGAUGUGAAAGAGGCCGGCUUAACCGGCAAGGGUCAUUUGAAACUGUCAGACUAGAGUGCAGCAGAGGAUAGUGGAAUUCCCGGAUGUAGUGGUGAAAUGCGUAGAUAUCGGGAGGAACACCAGUGGCGAAGGCGACUAUCUGGGCUGCAACUGACGCUGAGGCGACGAAGGCUAGGGUAGCAAACAGG
rnacentral:rRNA from 1 species